AUUGAACGCUGGCGGCAUCCCCUACACAUGCAAGUCGAACGGCAGCACGGGAGCAAUCCUGGUGGCGAGUGGCGAACGGGUGAGUAAUACAUCGGAACGUGCCCAAUCGUGGGGGAUAACGCAGCGAAAGCUGUGCUAAUACCGCAUACGAUCUACGGAUGAAAGCAGGGGAUCGCAAGACCUUGCGCGAAUGGAGCGGCCGAUGGCAGAUUAGGUAGUUGGUGAGGUAAAGGCUCACCAAGCCGUCGAUCUGUAGCUGGUCUGAGAGGACGACCAGCCACACUGGGACUGAGACACGGCCCAGACUCCUACGGGAGGCAGCAGUGGGGAAUUUUGGACAAUGGGCGAAAGCCUGAUCCAGCCAUGCCGCGUGCAGGAUGAAGGCCUUCGGGUUGUAAACUGCUUUUGUACGGAACGAAACGGCCUUUUCUAAUAAAGAGGGCUAAUGACGGUACCGUAAGAAUAAGCACCGGCUAACUACGUGCCAGCAGCCGCGGUAAUACGUAGGGUGCAAGCGUUAAUCGGAAUUACUGGGCGUAAAGCGUGCGCAGGCGGUUAUGUAAGACAGUUGUGAAAUCCCCGGGCUCAACCUGGGAACUGCAUCUGUGACUGCAUAGCUAGAGUACGGUAGAGGGGGAUGGAAUUCCGCGUGUAGCAGUGGAAUGCGUAGAUAUGCGGAGGAACACCGAUGGCGAAGGCGAUCCCCUGGACCUGUACUGACGCUCAUGCACGAAAGCGUGGGGAGCAAACAGG
rnacentral:rRNA from 1 species